rnacentral:rRNA from 1 species
ACUACCCGCUGAACUUAAGCAUAUCAAU